rnacentral:rRNA from 1 species
AUGGAGCCGCUUCUUAUGCUUAGCGUAGCGAUUCUCCUUGCGCAUGCGGUGACUUCCCUGCUGCGCACGGUUAUGGCCCGCCGGCGGCACUCGCGGUGCUACCUGCUGGACUACGUGUGCCAUAGGCCGUGUGACGACCGCAAGGUGAGCACGGAUACCGUUGGCAGGGUGGUCACGCGCAACAAGCGCCUCGGCGUCCCAGAGUACCGGUUCCUCCUCCGCGUCAUCGUCCGCUCCGGCAUCGGCGAGGAGAGCUACUGCCCGCGCAGCAUCCUGGAGGGCCGCGAAGAGUCGCCCACCCACCAGGACGCGCUGGACGAGAUGGACGCCUUCUUCGACGAAGCAAUCGCCGAGCUCUUCGCCAGGAGCGGCGUCGCGCCACGCGACGUCGACGUGCUGGUCGUCAACGUCUCCUUGCUGGCCCCCGCGCCGUCGCUCGCCUCCAGGAUCGUGCGCCGCUUCGGCAUGCGCGAGGACGUCGCCGAGUACAACCUCUCCGGCAUGGGGUGCGGCGCCAGCUUGAUCUCGCUGGACCUCGCACGCAGAGCGCUGCGCACGCGGCCGGCGUCGUUAGCUCUCGUGGUCUCGUCCGAGUCCAUCGCUCCCAGCUGGUACGCCGGCACGGACAGGUCCAUGAUGAUGGGCAACUGCCUCUUCCGCAGCGGAGGCUCCGCCGUGCUGCUCACCAACAACCCGUCGCUCCGCGGGCGCGCCAAGAUGGCGCUCCGCCAUCUCGUGCGCACAAACAUCGCCGCCGACGACGAGGCGCACACGUGCGCGCUGCAGCGCGAGGACGGCGACGGACACGUGGGGAUCAGCCUCAGCAAGGAUUUGCCCAAGGCCGCUGUCCGGGCCAUGACCCUUAAUCUACGGCGCCUCGUCCCACGCGUCCUCCCCUUGUCCGAGUUGCUGCGGUUCGCUGCCCACUACGUAUCCAGCAAGCUUCUAUCCCACUGUCCCAUGCAGGUGAAGGCAGACGGACGACUUCCCAAGAUCAACUUUAAGACCGGCGUGGAGCACUACUGCCUCCACCCCGGCGGCGCCGCCGUCGUGGAGGCUGUGAAGGAGAGCCUCGGUCUCGACGCCGACGACGUGGAGCCUGCGCUGAUGACACUGCGCCGGUGGGGGAACACGUCCGCCAGCAGCCUCUGGUACGUGCUGUCUUACAUGGAGGCCAAGGGGAGGCUGAAGAAAGGGGACCGGGCGCUCAUGCUCACCUUCGGCUCCGGAUUCAAGUGCAACAGUUGCCUGUGGGAGGUGACCGGCGACAUGGCUGACAAGGGCGCGUGGGCAGACUGCAUCGACGACUACCCACCGCCACCGGAGAGCGCCACUACCAACCCGUACAUGGACAAGUACAGCUGGGUUAACCAAGUCGACUCAACGGUGUUAUAG